rnacentral:rRNA from 1 species
GAUGAACGCUAGCUACAGGCUUAACACAUGCAAGUCGAGGGGCAGCACAAGGCAGCAAUGCUGAGGUGGCGACCGGCGCACGGGUGCGUAACGCGUAUCCAACCUUCCCGUUACUCAUGGAUAGCCUUCCGAAAGGGAGAUUAAUACAUGAUGGUGUUGAAAUUCCGCAUGUUAUUUCAACUAAAGAUUUAUCGGUAACGGAUGGGGAUGCGUUCCAUUAGCUUGUUGGCGGGGUAACGGCCCACAAGGCUUCGAUGGAUAGGGGUUCUGAGAGGAAGGUCCCCCANACUGGAACUGAGACACGGUCCAGACUCCUACGGGAGGCAGGCAGUGAGGAAUAUU